AAUCAUCAAAAAACCCUUUUUCUUUGAAAAGGAUUUUUUGGACUUGGAGGUUUCAUGCUCGCCUUUGCCUUCGAAGGUGAGCUCCUCUCAAAUAAAUUAGUGGGGUCCGCUUUGCUGAUCCUUAAUGUGAUAAGAUGUUUCUACAUUUUGGAUUUAGCACCGUCCCUCGGAUGCCUGCUCAUAACUGUCUUUUGGACAAUGAUGGUGCUCCGGUCAUCGCCAUCUACAUUGGCGGGAGGCUGGACCCACAAAGAAAAAA
rnacentral:misc_RNA from 1 species